CAGUAGCCGCGGUAAUACGUAGGGUGCAAGCGUUAAUCGGAAUUACUGGGCGUAAAGCGUGCGCAGGCGGUUUGUUAAGACAGAUGUGAAAUCCCCGGGCUCAACCUGGGAACUGCAUUUGUGACUGGCAGGCUAGAGUAUGGCAGAGGGGGGUGGAAUUCCGCGUGUAGCAGUGAAAUGCGUAGAUAUGCGGAGGAACACCGAUGGCGAAGGCAGCCCCCUGGGCCAAUACUGACGCUCAUGCACGAAAGCGUGGAGAGCAAACAGGAUUAGAUACCCCCGUAGUCCCUGUCUCUUAUAC
rnacentral:rRNA from 1 species